GUGUCAGCCGCCGCGGUAAUACAGAGGGUGCGAGCGUUGUUCGGAAUCACUGGGCGUAAAGCGCGCGCAGGCGGGCGUGUAAGUCAGAAGUGAAAUUCCGGGGCUCAACCCCGGAGCUGCUCCUGAUACUGCACGUCUGGAGACCGGUAGAGGCUGGUGGAAUUCCCGGUGUAGCGGUGGAAUGCGUAGAGAUCGGGAAGAACACCCGUGGCGAAGGCGGCCAGCUGGGCCGGUUCUGACGCUGAGGCGCGAAAGCGUGGGGAGCAAACAGGAUUAGAUACCCGGGUAGUCC
rnacentral:rRNA from 1 species